CGCUGGUUCUGAGGGGUCCCGCAGCCCCGGUUCUGAGUGAGGGGUCCUGGAGCCCCGGCCUGGUUCUGAGGGAGCCCGGUGUAGUGGUCCCGGUGCCCGGGUCCUGGUUAUAAGGGAGCCUGGAGCCCCGGUCCUGGUUCUGAGGGGUCCCGGUGCCCCGGUCCUGGUUGUAAGUGAGGGGUCCCGGAGCCCUGUCCUGGUUCUGAGGGGUCCCAGCGUUGUGAUCCCACCGUCCAGGUCCUGGUUCUGAUUGAGGGAGGCCUGGUGCUGCUGCCCUGGUUUUGAGUGGUCCCGGAGCUGUGAUCCCAGUGCCCCAGUCCUGGUUGUAUGCAAGGGGUCCUGGAGCCCCGUCCUGGUUCUGAGGGGUCCCAGAGCUGUGGUCCCGGUGCUCUGGUCCUGGUUCUGAGUGAGGGGUCUUUGAGCCGUGGUCCUGGUUGUGAGGGAGGCCUGGUGCUGCUGCCCGGGUUCCAAGUGAGGGCUCCUGGAGCCCGGAUCCUGGUUCUGAGGGCUCCUGGCACCCCAGUCCUGGCUGUGAGCGAGGGAGGCCGGGUGCUGCGGUCCUGGUUCAGAGCGAAGGAGCCUUGGACCCGGUUCUGCUCCUGGUUCC
ensembl:lncRNA